GCCCGCAUAGCUCAGUGGUAGAGCGCGUCACUAGUAUCAGAUCAUCGCCAUCAAUGGCACGAUCCCUUCACCAAUGACGAGGUCUUCAGUUCAACUCUGGAUGUGGGCA